rnacentral:lncRNA from 1 species
GUUCCUUGAUCCUGUGUAGUUAAAGGCAGAACUAAGAAGUACAAUAAAAGUGUGGCCCAUUUCCUAUAUGCUUGGAGUGAACUUUGGCUACAUAGCUGGCCUUAUUUCACUACUCUGGAUGGUGUACAUUUUUAAAGUGACAGCCAAGAGCAUAAUUAGAGUCUAAUAAAACACAGAAAAGUCACAAAUGCAAAGUGGAAUAAACAGUAAACAGUGAGGGAAGAGAAGAUCCCGGAGUGUGAUGGCUGGGGGCAAAAAGGAGGCAAAUAUCUAAAAAGCUAAAUAAAAUUCUCUAACAGAGAGGGGCUCUUCGGGAUGAUGAAGGAAAAUGCAGAGCAGUUACAAUUCUGAAAUUAACGGUCAUUUCUAAGAAUCAGUCACAUUUCAGAACAUUGACCACUGUACA